UACAGAGGUGGCAAGCGUUGUUCGGAAUUACUGGGCGUAAAGGGCGCGUAGGCGGUUCGAUAAGUCCCGUGUGAAAGCCCCCGGCUCAACUGGGGAACUGCACGGGAAACUGACGGACUUGAGUUCGGGAGAGGGAAGCGGAAUUCCGGGUGUAGCGGUGAAAUGCGUAGAUAUCCGGAGGAACACCGGUGGCGAAGGCGGCUUCCUGGACCGACACUGACGCUGAGGCGCGAAAGCGUGGGGAGCGAACAGG
rnacentral:rRNA from 1 species